AUUGAACGCUGGCGGCAUGCUUUACACAUGCAAGUCGGACGAGUGGCGAACGGGUGAGUAAUAUAUCGGAACGUACCGAGUAAUGGGGGAUAACUAAUCGAAAGAUUAGCUAAUACCGCAUAUUAUUCGAGCGGCCGAUAUCUGAUUAGCUAGUUGGUGGGGUAAAGGCCUACCAAGGCGACGAUCAGUAGCGGGUCUGAGAGGAUGAUCCGCAACACGGGGACUGAGACACGGCCCAGACUCCUACGGGAGGAGGCAGUGGGGAAUUUUGGACAAUGGGCGCAAGCCUGAUGCAGCAAGGCCGCUUGUCUAAAGAAGGCCUUCGGUUUGUAAAGGAGUUUUGUCAGGGAAGCGGUACCUGAAGAAUAAGCACCGGCUAACUACGUGCCAGCCGCCGCGGUAAUUC
rnacentral:rRNA from 1 species